AACUUCCCCUGUGGAUCGGGGAUAGAAUAUAUCCACAGUAUCCCCUGCUUGUCGUAAAAAGCGACUAAUAGGGGUUGAGUGUUGGACUGACAACCCAAUCUCGCAAAAACCCACUUGUUAAACCCACUGAAAACUUCAAGAAGAAAAGCUGGAUUGAAUGAUUGGUGCAAACUCCUGAAGAAGGCUGAAGCCCACUAUGGGAUGUAAUAACAAUAGAUGGAUGAAUGGAUGGAUGGAGAUGAAUAGAACUAAUACACACGCGCAAAAGGGGAUAGGCAAUUUCCUUAAACGAAGGAAGUGAACGAUAGCCUAACCUUCUCGUCAUCAAGGGUCACAACCUGAAUGGAACGUUACGAGCUUUGAAACAUGUGAUCACACGAUGGACACGUGCGAGCUCUUUGAUUUCUUCAAAUACGAUCGAUUUCUCUUUAAUGGCACGCACAUACGCUUCACACACACGCACACGCACACAGCGCGCGCACGAAUCAUGCAAUAUUUGAUUGUCGAAUUUUCUCGAAUCUAAUUGUAAGAUUCCUUUGUUUUAGUUGAAUCAUUUUGUUCAAUUAUUUUUACUAUUAAUUACGAUAAAAAAAGUAAAUUUUUAAAGGUAAAUUUUUAUUAAAUUACUAAAAUACAGUAGUAGUAAUAAUAAUAUAAUAAUAGUAAUAAAAUUUAUUUGAAAUUAUUGUAAUUUCGAUUAAAACAAAAAAUAUUAAAUACGUUCUAUAAUCUCGUUAGGGAAACCCAAGUUAUUAGAAAAGUCAUUAAGUAUGAACCUUAACCUAUCGAUUUUCUCUCCUUUCGAAUUACCUUUUACGGAAGUUAGUUAAAGUAGGCGAGAAGAAAAAAGAAGCAUUCAAUGUUAAGGAUCGUCGUUGGACUUUGAUAGAAUUACUAAUAAAUUUUCAAUCGGGCGAGAGAGGAAAGUUCUUCUCGUGUCAUGAGUAAUAGGAGGAAUUUUUUUAAAGGUCAAGCUUCGGCCUCUAAAGGGGAAUAAUUAUAGGUUAGAAUGUAUCUCACGAGAAUUGAAUCCAUACUAUUUCCGAGUGAUCAUCUAAUUGGUAAAUUUUGACAGAAUUGAUAAAUUCUUUUAUUCCUUAGAAUUUUUUCAAUAAUUAAUUCGUCAUUCGUGGAUUAAUAUUGAUGUGCGUCGCUUAAUAUUAUUUGUAAACAAAUGAGAGCAGUCCAAUGACACUAGCGAGUCACGUGGUAAUAGUAUGUCUCUAUCCUUGUCUGUUGUCUGUUUCUUUUUCUUUCUUUCUCUGUCUCUGUCUCUCUGUGUAUAUCUAUCUUACACAUACACAUACAGUUUUAUUCGUCUUCGUAUAUCAACCGAGUCUCUUAUCGGUAUUCAUUAGUCCAAUAAACUUUAAUCAAGUUGCUCGGCUACGAGAAGAGGAAAAAGGUUUCAAGGUCUUGGCUUGUUGGCGCUUGGCUGAUCGUACGACGACUUUGCUAACUACGCGACAGAAAUAUUCUGACGUAACAACGAUCCAUGACUUUGCUCGAAGGAUGUUCCUAAUGAUUCUCCAUUUAAUCGCACAAAUAAAAAUGCUUUUUGAAUUUUUUUUCUUUUUUUCUUAUUUCUUUUUUUUAUUAAAUUUGGGAUUUCUAAAAGUGUAUUUCCAAGAAUUGAACGAGGAAAAACGUCGAUUGAUAAACAGAAUCUAUCACGUGAUCGUUAAACUAAUCUAUGCAGAUUACUUAAAACUAAAUGGAAUUUUAUCAAAUCAUACAUAUGUAUGAUACAUAUAUUGAUUAUCCAUGUUCAAGCAAAUUACAGGAAAAUUUGUUAAGAAAAUAAUCAAGAAAGGGAAAGUUCCAUUUCUAAGUUAAGAGUGAAUAAGAAAGGAAGAGAGAGAGAGAGAGAGAGAGAGAGAGAGAGAAAAGAAAAGGGCCUUCGAGAAAAGCCGAUGGUAAGGUUCUUGCCCGAGCCUUGGAAUGUUGCUUGGCGAGGAG